rnacentral:lncRNA from 1 species
GUGGGAGGGGCUUGGCCCGAGCUGGGAGGCUGGGUCUGGACUGUCCUGGGCACCCACUGAGCGCAUCUCUCACCCCUGAGAGAGGAUCAAGAGAAGAGGCCUUGGGACCAUGAGCCCGUGAAGCCAAAGCCCUUGACCUACUGGAAGGAUGUCCUUCUCCUGGAGGGUGUGACCUUGACCCAGGAUUCCAGGCAGCUGAAUGGGUCGGAGCGGGCGGUGUUGGAUGGGCUGCUCACCCCAGCCGAGUGUGGGGUGCUGCUGCAGCUGGCUAAGGAUGCAGCUGGGGCUGGAGCCAGGUCUGGCUAUCGUGGUCGCCGCUCCCCUCACACCCCCCAUGAACGCUUCGAGGGGCUCACGGUGCUUAAGGCUGCGCAGCUGGCCCGGGCUGGGACAGUGGGCAGUCAGGGUGCUAAGCUGCUUCUGGAGGUGAGCGAGCGGGUGCGGACCUUGACCCAGGCCUACUUCUCCCCGGAACGGCCCCUGCAUCUG